rnacentral:misc_RNA from 1 species
CGCCCAAGGGUGACGGCCAUGUCGACGUGGACCCUGCAGUGCUCCCCCGUUGCAACCUAUGCACACCCUCGGUUGGCGACUAUUCGUACAAAGAAACGACCAUUUUUAGGGAACGGACAGGUUUCAUCUCAAAGCAAGUAAUCGUCGCGCCGGAUUACUCUUGCACGCAGCAUUUGGGCUAUGAAUGAAGACCCAACCUUUUCACCUCGAGGUUUUGGCAGUGUUGCUUCUAUCUGUGAUUCCAUGGCCGGGUCCCAGUGUCUUUAAAAUAUCAUGCCCUCGCGAUCGAGCGUCUGUAGUGAGGAGGAUAGUUCACAAGAGAUGGAUGCCAAUACUGAAGAAGUAUCAGGUAGAAUUACCAUUGGAAUGCCCGUUCCACGAGAGUCGAGAUAUUUUUCGGCCACAGCAAAAGGCAAAGCAUCAACACAGACCAUCACAAUGGACCUGCGGCCUUUGCGGCAAAUCCUUUUACGCCGAGAAACAUUUGGACGCCCACUUCGAUAACAGACACAAGAGCAAUGUUAAUACGGCAGAAGAUGCGGUAUGCCUAGCGGAUUACUGUGACAUUAUGCGUUGCGAGGUGCUGGGCAACCGCGACUUCGAGAACUCGGUGGACGACGAUGGUGGUCAUCUAAACACCGACAUCCAGGUAUGGCGCGAAAAUACCGAGCAACAAAAGCAACAGCAACAGCGGCGCAGCACUUCUAUCGUGCCCUGCGGAUCGCGUGGCCUCGCCAGGAUGUAUCCUACAGAUAAGUCCUGCGUCAUUGCUGGCGGUGGAGCGGUGACGAAUCUGCAGCGUUACUGCCGUCGUGACGACCACCAUGACGAUAGUGAUAUGCACAAUCAUAGAUUAGCGAGAUCAUCUUAUCACAAUGAGAUCGCCGAAACGGAUAAUAAAAAUGAUUGCGAAGAGGAUGAGGACGAAGAAGAUGAAGAGGACAUGGAAGAUGAGGAGAAUCUGGUAGAAGCGGCGCUACCUGCCGUCGACAAAAAACAGAGACGGAGAGGACUGCAUUUGAGAAAACUAAAAUCCAAUUGUAAGCCAGAAGAGUUGCAGAAAUUGAAGACCCAAUGUGAAAUACUCGUACGCGAUUGUAUUGCCGGAUUACUCGCUAAUCUUUCUGUACGAGAUUUUCAAGAAAUCGAAGGGGAGCUAAAUCGAGCGAUCUGCUGGUAUCUCAGCUGUGAUAGAUAUUGGGAGGACACAAAAAGACCGCAGCGUCACACACCCUGGUACCUGCUGACUGUCUUCAUGCUGCUCCUAUUUUCGUCGAUUUACGCAUGUUACUACAUAAUCUGGGUUUGCUUUAAUACCGCAGACGAAGAUAGAUUGGACGGUGGAAGCGAUUACAACGGAAGUACGGAUCGCUCAAGUACUUCUCCGUUGCACGAUCCGAGUAUUCAUAACGAGGGCAGAUUGGACAGGCGAAAGGGCGAUCAUGGGGAUGAGAAUCUGCCCUUAUCGAGCGAGGACAUGCCUGAUCACUAUAUCUACGUCUCGUACCCGCCCGAGCUAAAGCGGCGACUUCUGGAGAGUGAUCCUCCUGCUUACAGCUGCUACAAUAGGACCACACGUCUGUAAAUUAAGAAGGAAGUGCAUACACGACGAAAUUAAAAUUUUAUUCGGGAUCUGCACAAGGAAAGUGCGUACCGGACGAUAACAGCACCGUUGCAAUGCACGACACUCCAGCUACGACCAUGCACAAACAAAGCGGCCAUCGACG